CUACGGGCGGCUGCAGUGAGGAAUAUUGCGCAAUGGGCGAAAGCCUGACGCAGCAACGCCGCGUGGAUGAUGAAGGCCUUCGGGUUGUAAAAUCCUUUUAUGGGGAACGAUAAUGACGGUACCCCAGGAAUAAGUCCCGGCUAACUACGUGCCAGCAGCCGCGGUAAAACGUAGGGGGCGAGCGUUAUCCGGAUUUACUGGGCGUAAAGCGCGCGUAGGCGGUGUCGCAAGUUGGAUGUGAAAGCUCCCGGCUUAACUGGGAGGGGUCGUUCAAAACUGCGGUGCUUGAGGACAGAAGAGGAGAGCAGAAUUCCCGGUGUAGUGGUGGAAUGCGUAGAUAUCGGGAGGAAUACCAGUGGCGAAGGCGGCUCUCUGGUCUGAACCUGACGCUGAGGUGCGAAAGCGUGGGGAGCGAACGGGAUUAGAUACCCUAGUAGUC
rnacentral:rRNA from 1 species